rnacentral:ncRNA from 16 species
CCAAUAUGAUGUUGCUUUGGUUCCUGCGAGUCACUCCGCAGGCGAAGAGGGAAGCCGGUGGAAUUCCGGCGCUGCCCCCGCAACUGUAAGCGGCGAGCCUGAUGUCCGAAUGUCACUGGUGCAAUGCGCCGGGAAGACGGACCGAGAGGCGCUCGAGCCGCGAGCCAGGAGACCUGCCAGAGCAGAUAGACGACGA